GUGUGGAGCUUCGGCGUGGUGCUGUAUGAGCUCUUCACCUACAGCGACAAGAGCUGCAGCCCAUCCACUGAGUUCCUGCGCAUGAUGGGGCCUGAGCGUGAGGGAUCCCCGCUCUGCCACCUCUUGGAGCUGCUGGCAGAGGGCCGCCGUCUCCCACCACCCUCCACCUGCCCUACUGAGGUGAGGGAGACAGACUCAAGUUUCCCAGUUUCCAUUCCUGAUUGACAGCAUUGGUCAUGACUGGGAAGGCUUUACAUGAGGAGGCUCAGCUUCAAGGGCUUCAGAAAUGUGGUUUUCACUUGUGUUGAGGCAAAGUCUUGCUAUGUAGCCUCCUCUAGCCUGGAACUCGACAUCCUCCUGCCUCAGUCUCUUCUGGACUGAGAAGACAAAUGCAGGUGCCACCACCACCACUCUCAACUCCACAUUUUAGUGUUUCUUUUAUUAUUUAUUUUUUACAGUGCUGAGAAUUGAAGGCACAUGCUAGGCAAGCACACAUCCUAUGUCAUGACAAUGAAGGGGCCUCGCAGGCCACUCCCGGGCAUAAGUGGAUCUUGUUGGAGGAGCCACUAGAGUUCAUUCCCAGUAGGAAGCAGAGCUAAGAGAGAAGCAAAUGUGUUGCAAGGUGGGGAAUGUGUGCCCGUCACUCUAGCCAUCAGCAGGCCAGGGCAGGAAGAUUACCACAGGCAAACUUAGUUUCUGUUCAGAGAUCCAUAGGGAGCCACGGAGAGCUAUGGAGCAGUGGGGUGACUUCGAAUGUGUGCCAU
rnacentral:lncRNA from 1 species